rnacentral:rRNA from 1 species
GAUGAACGCUGGCGGCGCGCCUAACACAUGCAAGUCGAACGGUUAAAGCACCUUCGGGUGUGUAUAAAGUGGCGAACGGCUGAGUAACACGUGGGCAACCUGCCCCUCGCACCGGGAUAGCCUCGGGAAACCGUGGCUAAUACCGGAUACUCCGGGACCCCCGCAUGGGGGCGCCGGGAAAGCCCUGACGGCGAGGGAUGGGCCCGCGGCCUGUUAGCUUGUUGGCGGGUAACGCCCACAAGGCGAUUAUGGGUAGCCGGGUUGAGAGACCGACCGGCCAGAUUGGGACUGAGACACGGCCCAG